GGUGAGGUAACGGCCCACCAAGGCAAUGAUGGGUAGCCGGCCUGAGAGGGUGAACGGCCACAAGGGGACUGAGACACGGCCCUUACUCCUACGGGAGGCAGCAGUGGGGACUAUUGGACAAUGGACCGCAAGUCUGAUCCAGCAAUUCUGUGUGCACGAUGACGUUUUUCGGAAUGUAAAGUGCUUUCAGUCGGGAAGAAGUCAGUGACGGUACCGACAGAAGAAGCGACGGCUAAAU
rnacentral:rRNA from 1 species